ACAGAAAAGUAGUCCCAGUUCGGAUUGUAGUCUGCAACUCRACUACAUGAAGUCGGAAUCGGCUAGUAAUCGCAAAUCAGCAUGUUGCGGUGAAUACGUUCCCGGGUCCUUGUACACACCGCCCGUCACACCCAUGGGAGUUUGAUGCACCCCAACUUUGUGACCAAACCGNCAAGGAUGGAGCAACCUAAGGUGAAGUCAAGUGAACUAGGGGUGA
rnacentral:rRNA from 1 species